AACGAACGCUGGCGGCAUGCCUAACACAUGCAAGUCGAACGAGACCUUCGGGUCUAUUGGCGCACGGGUGCGUAACACGUGGGAAUCUGCCCUUUGCUUCGGAAUAACAGUUAGAAAUGACUGCUAAUACCGGAUGAUGUCGAAAGACCAAAGAUUUAUCGGCAAAGGAUGAGCCCGCGUAGGAUUAGGUAGUUGGUGGGGUAAAGGCCUACCAAGCCGACGAUCCUUAGCUGGUCUGAGAGGAUGAUCAGCCACACUGGGACUGAGACACGGCCCAGACUCCUACGGGAGGCAGCAGUGGGGAAUAUUGGACAAUGGGCGAAAGCCUGAUACAGCAAUGCCGCGUGAGUGAUGAAGGCCUUAGGGUUGUAAAGCUCUUUUACCAGGGAUGAUAAUGACAGUACCUGGAGAAUAAGCUCCGGCUAACUCCGUG
rnacentral:rRNA from 1 species